rnacentral:rRNA from 1 species
GACGAACGCUGGCGGCGUGCUUAACACAUGCAAGUCGAACGGAAAGGCCCUGCUUUUGUGGGGUGCUCGAGUGGCGAACGGGUGAGUAACACGUGAGUAACCUGCCCUUGACUUUGGGAUAACUUCAGGAAACUGGGGCUAAUACCGGAUAGGAGCUCCUGCUGCAUGGUGGGGGUUGGAAAGUUUCGGCUGUUGGGGAUGGACUCGCGGCUUAUCAGCUUGUUGGUGGGGUAGUGGCUUACCAAGGCUUUGACGGGUAGCCGGCCUGAGAGGGUGACCGGCCACAUUGGGACUGAGAUACGGCCCAGACUCCUACGGCAGGCAGCAGUGGGGAAUAUUGCACAAUGGGCGGAAGCCUGAUGCAGCAACGCCGCGUGCGGGAUGACGGCCUUCGGGCUGUAAACCGCUUUCGCCUGUGACGAAGCGUGAGUGACGGUAAUGGGUAAAGAAGCACCGGCUAACUACGUG